rnacentral:rRNA from 1 species
UUGGAUCGACCUGAUGGGAUCAAUAUCCUCGAUGGUAAGUUCUACCUAGGAUAUGCUGGAUAUGCAUGCCGACCUGGUGUUCUUUCACCCUUCAAUAAAACUAGGUACAAUCUCAACAAGUACUAAACUAGGAACUAUCCUUGGAUUGCUGACAAAAUUUUCAAUCUCAGACAAUCUAGCCUUAAAGUUACGGUUGAGAGGGCAUUCGGUGAUUUGAAGAAUAUAUUUGAGAUCUUGUAUCGGAAGGCAUUUUACCAUCUCCUCACACAAGCUAAGCUUGUUCUUGCAUGUUGCAUUCUCCAUAACUGGAUCUUAGAAUGAGGUUAUGAUGAGUUUGUAUUGGAGGAGGAGGAUGUGAUGACAGAUGAUGUUGAUGACUCUGGCCAUGAUGUGGAGGCACAAAACAGUGAAGCUUGGAGUAACAAAAUGUGGGAGUCGGCUGACGCAAUGUGGGCUAACAGAGAUAACACAAGGAUCCAAAGAAGAAGAAGAUGA